UUCUCUAUGAGCCAGCUCAGUCAGCAGAGCACGAGACCUUUAAUGCCGGGGUCAUGGGUUCAAGCCCCACGUUGGGGAAG